rnacentral:rRNA from 1 species
AAAUUGAAGAGUUUGAUCAUGGCUCAGAUUGAACGCUGGCGGCAGGCCUAACACAUGCAAGUCGAACGGUAACAGGAAUCAGCUUGCUGAUUUGCUGACGAGUGGCGGACGGGUGAGUAAUGUCUGGGAAACUGCCUGAUGGAGGGGGAUAACUACUGGAAACGGUAGCUAAUACCGCAUAAUGUCGCAAGACCAAAGAGGGGGACCUUCGGGCCUCUUGCCAUCGGAUGUGCCCAGAUGGGAUUAGCUAGU